GUCUCCUCUGGCCUAUCCUCCAAGGCUGAAUCCAACCCCAUCUAAAUCAGCAGAUCCUCCAACCUCACCUUCCAUAUAGUGAAACUUCUUUUACCGUCAAACUUCUCAAAUCCCACCUUCAUCCCAUUGCUCUCCAUGAUCAACCCAGAUCAAAAAUAGUACACAAGAUAGAUCUAAAAAUUACCUAACUAGGGAUGGUGGACAGUAGCCCUCAGAUCUCUUUCUUCCUCACAAAACCCAGAGAAACCUUUAGAUCUGAACCCCUAUUGAUCAUUCUACUGAAAAUCUGAUCUUCUUCUUCCUCCUUCACGCAUCUUGGGAUCUGAUACCACUUGUUAGGAAAACCUCUAGUAUAACUCCCGUGCUAGAUGUAGAUCACCUUUGCAUGGACUUGGGUGUUAAUCCAGUAAUGAAGAAGAUCAAAGAAAGGAGAAGCAAAAUAAUGAUGGGUGGUAACCCUAGGAGAUGUUAGGAUUUGGCAUUGGAACCAGAGAGAGAGAUUUAGGAAGAAAGGAUCAAUU
rnacentral:lncRNA from 1 species